CCUACGGGGGGCUGCAGUGGGGAAUAUUGCGCAAUGGGCGAAAGCCUGACGCAGCGACGCCGCGUGAGGGAUGAAGGUCUUCGGAUCGUAAACCUCUGUCAGCAGGGAAGCACGGUCACUGUGCUAAUCAGCAGUGAAUUGACGGUACCUGCAAAGGAAGCACCGGCUAACUCCGUGCCAGCAGCCGCGGAUAUACGGAGGGUGCGAGCGUUAAUCGGAAUGAAUGGGCGUAAAGCGCUCGUGGGCGGUAUGGCAAGUCAAGUGUGAAAUCCCCGGGCUCAACGUGGGAACUGCCUUUGAAACUGGCAAACUGGAGUGUUGGAGAGGAUAGUGGAAUUCCAGGUGUAGGAGUGAAAUCCGUAGAUAUCUGGAGGAACAUCAGUGGCGAAGGCGACUUUCUGGCACAUAACUGACGCUGAGGAGCGAAAGCGUGGGUAGCAAACAGGAUUAGAUACCCCAGUAGUC
rnacentral:rRNA from 1 species